UACCCUAUUAUAAUAGAUGUUAAUUUUAUUCCAAGUUAGUACUAGUUAGUUCUUGAAAUCUAAAUAAUUUGGCGGUAUUUUAUUCUUUUCAGAGGAACCUGUUCUUUAAUUGAUAAUCCACGAUUUUAUUUACUUAAUUUUGUAUUCAGUUUUUAUAUUUCCGUCAUAAGAAUAUUUUUAUAGAAUAAAUUUUCUUAGUUAUUUAAAAAUAAAAAUGUCAGGUCAAGAUGAAAUUGAUAUUUAAGUAGUAAUGGGUUACAAUAAAUUUAUUUAUACGGAUAUUUAGUUUUAUGAUUAAUUUGAAGGUGGAUUUGGUAGUAAAUGAAUUUAUUAAAUUCAUUGAUAAUAGCUCUAAAUUAUGUAACAUCGCC
rnacentral:rRNA from 1 species